rnacentral:rRNA from 1 species
UACAGAGGUGGCAAGCGUUGUUCGGAAUUACUGGGCGUAAAGGGCGCGUAGGCGGCCUUCUAAGUCAGACGUGAAAUCCCCCGGCUUAACCUGGGAACUGCGUCUGAUACUGGAGGGCUUGAGUAUGGGAGAGGGAUGUAGAAUUCCAGGUGUAGCGGUGAAAUGCGUAGAUAUCUGGAGGAAUACCGGUGGCGAAGGCGGCAUCCUGGACCGGCAUUGACGCUGAUGAGCGAAAGCUAGGGGGAGCAAACGGGG